rnacentral:lncRNA from 1 species
GCUAAGAAUAUUCACACUGGUAUUCAACCAUCACCAACACAUCUCCAGGACGUGGUCAGUAUCCUAAGUUGGCAGGCACUGUGUCCCCAGGAAACACUCCCCCCUCCACUGUAUUUACACCCCACCAUGAAAAUGAUGCCUCCUAGAUUGAAAGGGCUUUGCAGAAAGAAGGUGAAUUCCAAUUUGCAUUUCCAGCUGAGCUAAGCAUAUUUGCAUAUGGAAAGAUCCUGUAACAAACUGUGUGGACAGAAUUGUGAAGCCCAGGGCUGAAGCACAUGACAGCCCAUGUCUGCAUGUCAUCGAGCUGAAAUGCUGCAGUCAUGUGAAUGGACAUAAGCCACCACCUCUGGGAGAAAUGGCUGCAGCAGAGAAGGAUGAACGGAAGGCAGAAAAACCAGGAAGGACCCAGGCUGACUGUGACUCAAGAGCUGGGGAAAACACUAAUGUUUUCUGACCACCUCUCGUUUUUACCCUUUGGUCCAUUCUUUCUGAGGUUUCUUCUUCAGAGGCCUCCUUAUCAUAGAUCCUGUCAUCCUGUAAAAUUGAACACAUUCCUAAAGGUCACCUUGAGGAGGACUGAAACCACUAAGGGAAUGUCAACAGUCAGUCAUGGAGAGUGGUAUGUGCAUGGAGGACAGGGGAUGGGCGACAAUUUUCUGGAGUCUCUGAUAAACGUUGCUGUGACCCUACAACUGCUGUAAACUGUAAGUGAUAGAAAACUAUUUCUGGACUAUUGGAGGUUGGAGUUUUCAGGCACCCAGAGACCAUCUGCCUAGUCUACUUAGUUGGUAGCUAGACUGGCUGAAGCUCAGUGGGUGGAAGGGACUUGCCCAAAACAAAUAGAGCAAGUUCAAUGCCAGGGUCAAAGCCACGUACAUUGCCUCACAGUUCUAUGCGGGUCAGACGCAAACCCCACAAGCAGACAAUAACAACAGACCACAAAUUCAAGCUGUUGGGAGUAUCAGGCCUAAUUUCUGCCCUAAAUUCUUCUAAACCUUUAGGGUUAGAAGUGGCCUUGGAGGAAAGAACCAGAACCAGGAAAGGAUUCGGAGGAGGGGGCUGGAGAGAUGGCUCAGCGGUUAGGAGCACCGACUGCUCUUCUGAAGGUCCUAAGU